rnacentral:rRNA from 1 species
AUUGAACGCUGGCGGCAGGCCUAACACAUGCAAGUCGAGCGGAGCGGCGGACGGGCGAGUAAUGCCUAGGAAUAUGCCUGGUAGUGGGGGAUAACGUCCGGAAACGGGCGCUAAUACCGCAUACAAAUAGAUGAGCCUAGGUCGGAUUAGCCUGAUGGUGGGGUGAAGGCCGACCAAAGCGACGAUCCGUAACUGGUCUGAGAGGAUGAGCAGUCACAUUGCAACUGAGAGACGUUCCAGCCUCCUACGGGGGGCAGCAGUGGGUAAUAUUGGACAAUGGGCGGAAGCCUGAUCCAGCCAUGCGGCGUGUGUGAAGAAGGUCUUCGGAUUGUAAAGCACUUUGAGUUGGCAGGCGUUACCAACAGAGUAAGCACCGGCUAACUUCGUGCCAGCAGCCGCGGUAAUAC